rnacentral:rRNA from 1 species
GGAGGGUGCAAGCGUUAAUCGGAAUUACUGGGCGUAAAGCGCACGCAGGCGGUUGGAUAAGUUAGAUGUGAAAGCCCCGGGCUCAACCUGGGAAUUGCAUUURAAACUGUCCAGCUAGAGUCUUGUAGAGGGGGGUAGAAUUCCAGGUGUAGCGGUGAAAUGCGUAGAGAUCUGGAGGAAUACCGGUGGCGAAGGCGGCCCCCUGGACAAAGACUGACGCUCAGGUGCGAAAGCGUGGGGAGCAAACAGGAUUAGAUACCCUGGUAGUCCACGCCGUAAACGAUGUCGAUUUGGAGGCUGUGUCCUUGAGACGUGGCUUCCGGAGCUAACGCGUUAAAUCGACCGCCUGGGGAGUACGGCCGCA